ACGAACGCUGGCGGCGUGCUUAACACAUGCAAGUCGCACGGAAAGGCCUUUUCGGAGGUACUCGAGUGGCGAACGGGUGAGUAACACGUGGGUGAUCUGCCCUGCACUCUGGGAUAAGCCUGGGAAACUGGGUCUAAUACCGGAUAGGACCGCACUUUAGUGUGUGUGGUGGAAAGUUUUUUCGGUGUAGGAUGAGCCCGCGGCCUAUCAGCUUGUUGGUGGGGUAAUGGCCUACCAAGGCGGCGACGGGUAGCCGGACUGAGAGGUUGGUCGGCCACAUUGGGACUGAGAUACGGCCCAGACUCCUACGGGAGGCAGCAGUGGGGAAUAUUGCACAAUGGGCGCAAGCCUGAUGCAGCGACGCCGCGUGGGGGAUGACGGCCUUCGGGUUGUAAACUCCUUUCGCCAGGGACGAAGCGUUUUGUGACGGUACCUGGAGAAGAAGAACCGGCUAACUACGUG
rnacentral:rRNA from 1 species